UUCUUCAUGAACUGUUGUUGAGACAUUGCUAUUUUGCUUCCGGGGAACCAAAGCAUUAUUCAGAGAGGACGGAAAGCUUAUUUGCUCGUGAUGAACCGUGUUGUUCAAUGGGUUUUCACAAGGUGUAUCAAGCCCUGAGCUGCUCCCAGAACUGGACAGGGUAAUAUCAGAUUCGCUUGAGUGUUGUUCUUCAAUGGGAUUUCACAAGGUGUAUCAAGCCCAGAGCUGCUUCCGGAACUGGACAGGGUAAUAUCAGAUUCGCUUGAUGUCCGGCAGUUGCCAUUCUUUCCACCAUUUUGUGAUGUAGGUUUGUUGGCCAGAGCAUCC
rnacentral:lncRNA from 1 species